rnacentral:rRNA from 1 species
CCUACGGGAGGCAGCAGUAGGGAAUAUUCCACAAUGGGCGCAAGCCUGAUGGAGCAACACCGCGUGAGUGAAGAAGGGUUUCGGCUCGUAAAGCUCUGUUGUUGGAGAAGAACGUGCGUGAGAGUAACUGUUCAGGUAGUGACGGUAUCAAACCAGAAAGUCACGGCUAACUACGUGAGCGCAGCCGCGGUAAUACGUAGGUGGCAAGCGUUGUCCGGAUUUGUUGAGCGUAAAGCGAGCGCAGGCGGUUGCUUAGGUCUGAUGUGAAAGCCUUCGGCUUACCCGAAGCAGUGCAUCGGAGACCGGGCGACUUGAGUGCAGAAGAGGUCAGUGGAACUCGUUGUGUAGCGGUGGAAUGCGUAGAUAUAUCGAAGAACACCUGUUGCGAAGGCAGCUUUCUGGUCUGCAACUGACGCUGAGGCUCGAAAGCAUGGGUAGCGAACAGGAUUAGAUACCCCAGUAGUC